CCGCACCGCGAGGAGGCCUCCCGCCCCCCGCGGCUCCUCGCCGGCCCCUGCGGAGAAAAAAGCGGUCUUCAGAAAUAAGAAAUGCACUAUCUUUCAUUCAAGCUCGGGCUAGCAUUUCAGCUUUGCCUUCAUCGAGAAGAAACGGCGAUGGGAGCUCUUUGGCCUUCAGGUACUUCUCCAGACCCUGUCACAGAAGAAAGGGGAACGGGCAGGUGAGGGUCCGUUUCCGUUCUUUUGGGGAAGAUACUCCUAAGCUACGUGAACAUACUUCAGAUAAUGAAUGAAAUAUUAAAUAGCAUAUCUUGUUCCUCGCCCUGCUUAGAAAAAAGACA